GACGAACGCUGGCGGCGUGCCUAAUACAUGCAAGUAGAACGCACAGUUUAUACCGUAGCUUGCUACACCAUAGACUGUGAGUUGCGAACGGGUGAGUAACGCGUAGGUAACCUGCCUGGUAGCGGGGGAUAACUAUUGGAAACGAUAGCUAAUACCGCAUAAUAUUGAUUAUUGCAUGAUAAUUGAUUGAAAGAUGCUAUUGCAUCACUACCAGAUGGACCUGCGUUGUAUUAGCUAGUAGGUGAGGUAACGGCUCACCUAGGCGACGAUACAUAGCCGACCUGAGAGGGUGGUCGGCCACACUGGGACUGAGACACGGCCCAGACUCCUACGGGAGGCAGCAGUAGGGAAUCUUCGGCAAUGGACGAAAGUCUGACCGAGGAACGCCGCGUGAGUGAAGAAGGUUUUCGGAUCGUAAAGCUCUGUUGUAAGAGAAGAACGGGUGUGAGAGUGGAAAGUUCACACUGUGACGGUAUCUUACCAGAAAGGGACGGCUAACUACGUG
rnacentral:rRNA from 1 species